rnacentral:misc_RNA from 1 species
CAACCCUCAAGCUCUGCUUGGUAUUGAGCCCGGCCAGCAAUGGUCGGCUCCAAAAUCAGUAGCGGUGCCUUCGAGCUCUAAGCGUAGUAAUUUCUCUCGCUAUAGGUGUUCGGUGGUGACUUGCUAGAAACCCCCCAUCUUUUAA